rnacentral:rRNA from 1 species
UACGGGGGGGGGCAAGCGUUGUUCGGAAUUACUGGGCGUAAAGGGCUCGUAGGCGGCCAACUAAGUCGGAUGUGAAAUCCCCCAGGCUCAACCUGGGAACUGCAUCCGAUACUGGAUGGCUUGAAUUCGGGAGAGGGAUGCAGAAUUCCAGGUGUAGCGGUGAAAUGCGUAGAUAUCUGGAGGAACACCGGUGGCGAAGGCGGCAUCCUGGACCGACACUGACGCUGAGGAGCGAAAGCCAGGGGAGCAAACGGG